AAUGAUGAAGCAAAUAAUUGCAAUUAGUUUCGACCUAAUCCUAUGGUAUAAAAUUACCCUCAUUU
rnacentral:tRNA from 1 species